GCUUUACUGAAAUCUAUUCUUUACCCCUUAUAAAAAGAAGUCCCAUUUUUCAGCGACUGAACUGCUUCUAGCUACUUUUUCUCUUUCCAGCUGCUGGAGUUGCUUGCUGCUGGGAACCCUGAUUCAUCCAGGCCCUCACUGGACACACAGCUCCAGCAGGGAUCCCUCCAGAGCACAGAGAACCAUCCCAGCCAUCCUGCUUCUACUGACGAAGCCUGGACCCAGAUUAACUCUCCUGAGUGACCAUGCCACACACCUGACUCACAUUAAAUUUAACGGUCAACUGAAACCCUCACACUUCUGGGGCAGGGACUCACUCCCUGGUCCAGGGAAUUUCUAGGAAAACAGACUUUAUGUAGUUCCUUAUUACUUGUUCAAUGGAAAAUGGUGUCUGAGCUUCCCCCCACCCCCAACCACGAUAUUUAAUGUAUGAGAG
ensembl:lncRNA